AGUCCACCACGUAAGGACACAGCAAGAAGGCACCAUCUAUGAACCAGGAAGCAAAACAGUCCUCAUCAGGCACCAAUCUGCUGGCACCUUGAUCUCGGACUUCCCAGCCUCCAGAACUGUGAGCAAUAAAUUUGUUGUUUUUAAGCCGCCCAGUCUGUGAUGUUUUGUUUUAGCAUCCCAGACUAAGUAAGGGUUUAAAAGAGGUGAUUAAGUUAAAAUGAGGUCAUCAGGGUGCACCCCAGUCCGACAUAGCUGAUGUCCUUAUAAGAAGAGGAAAUUAGGACACAGACAUAUGCCAUGUGAAGACGCAGGGAGAAUGUGACAUCUGCAAGCCAAGGAGAGAGGCUGCAGGAGAAACCAGCUCUGCUGACACUUUGAUCUCAAGCUCUGGCCACCAGAACUGUGAGCAAAUAAGUGUCUGUUGUUUAGGGCACCCUGUCCAUGGCACCUUGCUCCGAUAGCCCCAGGAAACGAAUCCACAGAGGAGGAAGCCGAGGUUGGGAAAGGUGGAGGGACUUGCCCAAGUCACACAAACGACAACUCAGCAGAGCUGAGAAUUGGCACCCAGGGCAACUGGAGUCCAUCCUGAGCUUGUCACUGCUGGGCUCUGAGACCUCCUGGUGAAGAAGGACAGUGGCAGAGACAGCCCGACCCAGAGAAACCCAGCAACGCUACUUUCUAAGGGCAUUUUUCCCUCUCAUUUGGAAUCCUGAGCCUCCUGCUCGUCCUGUAGGCCACACCCAGCAAACAGAGCUGGCUGGGAACUGGGAGAAGAGCUGGAGCAACAGCCUGCAUCCAUUUCCUCUUGCUGCAAUAACAACUGAUCACAAGGUCAGUGGCUUAAACAACACAGAUUUACUCUCUUACAGUCUGAAGUAAGAGCCAAGAUGUCAGCGGGGCCGUGUUGCUUCCAGAGGCCCUAGGGAAAUCCAUUUCCUUGCACUUCCAGCUUCUAGAGGCCACCUGCGUUCCUUAGCUUGUGGCCUCAUCCUCAUUCUUCAAAGCCAGGCAUGUAGCAUCUUCCGGCUCCUCUCUCUCGCUCUGACCUUCCUGCCUCUCUGUUACAAGGAUCCACUUUUGUGGCUAAAAUGGGUCCAUCCUCCCCAGCCUGAAUGUGAAGACCCCCUCCUCCACGGCACCCCAUUGCCCAGGACAAGGAUGGGGCCCAUCACUGCUGCCCAGAGGAUAGGGAGACCCUCUCCAGGUUUCCUGGGAAGGCAUCAAGAUGUUCCCAAGGCUCAAAGAAAAAAGAAAUGGCUGGGCAUGGUGGCUCAUGCCUGUGAUCCGAGCUCUUUGGGAGACCAAGGCAGGAGAACCACUUGAGCCCAGGAGUUUGAAACCAGCUUGGACAGUGAUGGGCAAACCCCAUCUCUACAAAAAAUAAAAAAGUUAGCUGGAUGUGGUGGUGCACACCUGUAGUCCCCAACUAUUUUGAAGCGAGAUCACUUGAGGCCUUGAGGCUGGGAGGUUAAGGCUGCAGUCAGCCAUGACUGCUCCACUGCACUCCAGCCUGGGCAACACCGUGAGCCCUGAUCUCAAAAAUAAAUAAAUAAACAAAUAAAGAUGCUCCCAAGGGUGCUGGGCUCUGUUGGCCCAGGCCUGUAGUCCUGCUCCCUUGCCAGAAGUAAGAGCUGGCCUAAGGGAGAGCUGAAGCUUGCUCUGACGGGGACUCCUAAGUCCCUACAGAUUCUGCAGAUUCUCCUAGGGAUCGGUACCUCCUGGUUUGGGGAAUGGUCCCAGGAGCUGAUCAGUUGGGCCGCACUAGGCUCUGGACCUCCCUUCUGGGGGGAAGAGGAGGGGACUCCAGGGCCUGGGACCAAGGGCAUGUCCAGGGAGCUUGGAGCAGGGAAGCCCUGCCCUGCCCUAUACCUGCUGAGCAAGAAGCAAGAGCAGAAGGACUCUUGCUCCCUCUCUGAGCCUCAGGGGUCUGUUAGGAAGGUGGGGAUACCCUCAAAGCCUCCCUCCUGGGUCCUGUGGGUCAGUGCAACCUGUUGAGCAUGCCCUGCCUAUUUAGAAGAGGCAGGGACGCCAGGGACAAAUCUUGUGCUAAGCAGACAUGGGCCUUCAUGGGGCUUCCAUGGUACCAUGAAGACAGCCAUGGCCCUGCCUGGGUCCUGGAGAGAAGGGGAUGAGAAGGAGAGCUGCUGCUCGCUUGCAGCUCAGCUGACACCCAACACAAGCAAAAAGAUCUUUCUGCUUCCAAGGCACUGAGACACGGAGGUUGUUCAUUACCACAGCACAAUCCAGCAAGAGGUGACCAACACACUCUCCCCAGCUGCAUCUAGUUGCAGCUGGUGCACUCCCUGUAGGCCCUCUUUCUCACUUCUGUCUGCUGUUAGGGACUCUACAGCCCAGGACCCCAGGCUGGAGAAAUCAGCAAGCUAGUUGAUUUCUCCCUCUCCCUCAAUUUCCACAAUUCUUCAGUUGCUGGGGUCACACGACUCUGCAGUCCAGAACUCCUCCCCCUUAGCGAUCGGCUCUUCCCCAACCCCUCCCCAACCUCUCUUCCCUGCAGCCCGAGAACUCCCUGCUUGCUGGGCAUAGUGUCUGCACCCCAAUUAUGGGAGCAGAACAGAGGUCCCUCACCUGGGGUAUGCCAUGAGUAGAACUCAGGACAUUCAUGAACUUGGAUGGAGAAAAAAAAAAUCCCAUCUCCAUUUUCUCUAACAUCUAACUACAGUGUAGUAUUUCCUUCCAUGAUGAUCAUACCCAGCAAAGCCAGAAGUCAGUGGUACCUGCGGCACUGUUACCAACAGAAAUCACAGCUGUCUUCUGAUCACAACAAAGCUGGUGCAGAUUUCUCAAAAUCUCACUCAUCACUCCGUUGCAGACCCGCCGCCACAUCUUGUUAAUGCUUAGUAAAGAGGCACAUUUAUUAUCACAUCACAAAUGUGAUUUAUUUUUUCUUUUCUUUUUUAGAUGGAGUCUCACUCUGUCAACCAGGCUGGAGUGCACUGGCGCAAUCUCGGCUCACUGCAGUCACCUCCUCUCAGGUUCAAGUGAUUCUCCUGCCUCUGCCUCCUGAGUAGCUGGGAUUACAGGUGCAUGCCACCACGCUCUGCUAAUUUUUGUAUUUUUAGUAGAGACGGGGUUUCACCGUGUUGGCCAGGCUGGUCUGGAACUCCUGACCUCAGGUGAUCCGGCUGCCUCAGCCUCCCAAAGUACUGGGAUUACAGGCAUGAGCCACCACACCUUGCCACAAAUGUGGUUUUUAAAUGUGGUUUUUAAAAAUAUCUUGAUAGCCAUAUUUCCAGUGACUCGGUUUCCUGUGUAAUCCUACGUAUUUGUUAUGCAUGUACAAAGAAGACAGGGCAUGAAGGUGUCACCAGAUGCCACAGCAGCCCACAGCACAGAAAAGGUCACAACCACCUACUUCAGAGAAAGGCACUGGGGACCUUGGCUAUGUGGACAAGAACCAGGAGCUUGGGCUUCCCAGGCACAGCAGGGAAGCCUGCAGGGGCCUGACAGGUGGAUAACCUAGUGCCCAAGGCAGGGCUGGGUGGAGGAGAGAGUGGCACCCUCUGAUUGUCUGAGGUCUCUAUCUCUAGAGGACAGUACCACAGAUUGGAAGCCAGGUCUUUCCAGAGUCCCUGUGACCUCCUCUUUCUGCAUGAAACCCAGAUUGAGUAGGAAAAUGUCCCCAGGAGGAAGCAGCCACUGCCCAAGGGAGACAGCUAGAGACUCGCUGGGCAGGCUACAUCCCUGGGCUUCUCUCGGACCCGACAAGAGCCUGUCCAUCCCUUCACCUCCACUAAGAUCAGGGCACCCCAGGAGUCUCGGCAGGGCCACCCCAGGCUCUGCUCUGCCCUGGAAAGGUCCUCGUUUCACACUGACUCAGUUUCAGUUUUGGAAGGAGGUCAGAGGUUGCCUCCAUGUCCCUUCUCCCCACUGGUUCUCUGGAACCCUCCAUCAUAGAUGUCCCUGCCCUUCCUUCCCUGCUCAGGAGCAAAACCCCCAACCCCCAGGAGCUGGUCUCUCUAAGUCCUCUUGGAUCAGGCCAGGCUCAGCCCUGGAGGCCACAGCUCAGGCCCUGAGCCAGCCCAAGGGGCAGGGCGAGGAACCUACAUUGUUGUGUGCCCAGCCCCUUUAAGGGGCCCAUACGGACAAGAGCAAAUUCAGUAGGUUGCGUCAUCCACUCUAUAGUGAUUAAACAGGGAUGGUGGAGAAGUAGAGAAGUGUCAGCUCUGGAACCAGGUGGCCCUAGAUUGAAAUCCUAGCUCUGCUAUUUACCAGCCAGGUGGCCUUGGAUAGGUGAUUUGACCAAUACCGUUCCUCCGUUUCCCCACCUUGAGUGUUAUUGCAAGGAUUAAAUGAGUUACUACAAAGUAAAGUACUAAAUACAUAUCAGCUAUUAUUAUUAUUACUACUACUAUUAUUAUUAUGAGCCAGGAGAUGGGGACUGUGACAUAGGCUGCUGGUCUCUUCUCUCCUCUUCCAUAAGAAUAGUUCACCCCAUCCUUAGCUGGGUGUAUGGCCACCUGGCCCAAAACUACAUUUCCCAGCAUCCCUUGCUGCUAGAUGUGACCAUGUGAUCAAGUUCUGGCCAAUGAGAUGCCAGGAGAAGUGGUUUGGCCCACUUCCUGGGAGUUUUCUUUAAAGGACAGGGGCAAUGCCUUCUCCUUUUCUUCUCCUUUCUGCUGACCAGAAUGUGAGCAUGGAGUCUGGAGCAGGAGCAGCUGUUGUGCACUGUGAGGUUGAAGCCGUGUGUUGAGAAUAGCAGAGCAACAAAGCAAUAGGAGCUGGAGCCCCUAGGGGCCAUGAAGCCCCUACCAGCCCUGGACUGCUUAGAUUUACUUGAGCAAGAAAUAAACCCUUGAUUGUU
rnacentral:lncRNA from 1 species